AGCAGCCAAACAGAUAUAGUCAGAUCCAAAUCACAGGAAAGCACCCAAACACAUAACAGUAGUAACUAAUAAUUCCUUCAGAGGACAAUGGAUAUUACAG